GCCAAACCUUAGCCCAACCACAAUCACAAAUAACCCAUAUUCACAAAACAAACCAUUUGCAAACAUUAGUAUAUGCGAUAGAACAUAACCACCACUUUGGCGCGAUAGAACAAGUACCGCAAGGGAACACUGAAAGAACAAUGAAACAACAAAGCAAUACAAAGCAAAGACUAGCCCUUGUACCUUUUGCAUCAUGGUUUAGCCAGAAGCCACGGACAAAGAGAACUUUAGCCUGUUCCCCCGAAACUAAGUGAGCUACUACUUGGCAACCAAUUAGGGUGAACCCGUCUCUGUGACAAAAGAGUGGGAUGACCUUGUAGUAGGGGUAAAAAGCCUAACGAACUUAGUGAUAGCUGGUUGCUCAAUUAAAAGAAUUUAAGUUCAACUUUAGGCCCAAUUAGACCAAAUAUAGUCUACCAUUCAACCUAAAAGAUAUUCAAUGAAGGUACAGCUUCAUUGAAACAGGAUACAACCUGAAUUAGCGAGACAGUAAAUAAACCGCGACCAGUAGGCCUUAAAGCCGCCACCAAUAAAUAAAGCGUCACAGCACAAAUAUAAAGAUACCUAAAACACAACACAAGCUCCUAAUUACACACCGAGCCACACUAUAAUAAUAGACGCACUAAUGCUAAAACUAGUAACAAGAAGCCCACUCUCCUAGCACACCCUUGACUCGGCAAUAGAAAACCUACCGAACAUUAACGGACCAAAAAAGGAAAAACACACAAAGCCAAGCCUGUAACCUAGACUGUCAAGCCAACACCGGAGUGCUACAAGGAAAGAUUUAAAGUCGCAAAAGGAACUCAGCAAAAACCUGUCCCAACUGUUUACCAAAAACAUAGCCUUUAGCAAAACAAGUAUUAAAGGUCCCGCCUGCCCAGUGAACUAUUUAAACGGCCGCGGUAUUCUAACCGUGCAAAGGUAGCGUAAUCACUUGUCUUCUAAAUAAAGACCAGUAUGAACGGCUAAAUGAGGACAAACCUGUCUCUUGCAACCAAUCAGUGAAACUGAUCUCCCGAUCCAAAAGCCGGGAUAACCCCACAAGACGAGAAGACCCUGUGGAGCUUUAAACAAACUAUUAUACACACCAUUGUGCAACUAAUAGGAAGUUUUGAGUUGGGGCGACUUCGGAACCAAAAAAAACUUCCGAGCACAGAACCACCCGUUCUUACCAAGACCAACACAUCAAAGUCCUAAGACGACCCAGUAACACUGACCAACGAACCAAGUUACCCCAGGGAUAACAGCGCCAUCUUCUUCAAGAGUUCAUAUCGACAAGAAGGUUUACGACCUCGAUGUUGGAUCAGGACACCCCAAUGGUGCAGCCGCUAUUAAAGGUUCGUUUGUUCAACGAUUAACAGUCCUACGUGAUCUGAGUUCAGACCGGAGCAAUCCAGGUCGGUUUCUAUCUAUGUAGCCACCCUCUUCAGUACGAAAGGACAAAGAGGGGGGGACCAAUGCUACAAGCACGUCCCAGCCCAUCAACUGAACAAAACUAAAGUUAAACAGCUAUCAACCACGACCAAAGAUCGUGGUUUU
rnacentral:rRNA from 1 species